GCAGCUCUUCCUCUUUUGUUUUUUUUGCCUCUCGUUUUUCCUUUACUCGCUUGCGCUUCGUCGUCGCUGUUUCCGAGAUGGGGGAAAUCGUACAAGGCCGCGGUGGCGAAGGUCGAGAGGAAGAAGCUCGGUGGACUGGUCGCCGAGGAGAACUGCGGCCCGUCGAUGCUCCGCCUUGCAUAAGAUCUGUUCUAUAGGCUCGUACCACUGUAUCCUUGAGUGUUAAGGAGACAGGCAACCCUAUCUGGAUGAUGAUGUAAAGAUUCAAGAUCAGAGUGUGAUUAACGGCUUAGAUUCUCUAAGAUCGGAGGCUGUGGAGGAUCGUUCUCAGCAGAUCUCUACUCCUGAUGGGGGUGGUCUGGUCUCGAGUCUGUCUGACAGAUCAUAAAAUAGUUUUUGUAGUUUCAUCUCCUUGUUUAGUCCCACAUCCGCCUGUGAUUGGUGGCUGUGGAUGAUCGUUCUCAGCAGAUCUCUACUCCUGCUGGGGGUGGUCUGGUCUCGAGUCUGUCUGACAGAUCAUAAAAUAGUUUUUCCCUUAACGAAGAAGCGACGCAGCAAAUUAAUAUAAUAAUUUUAUGUUUUUUAUAAAUUAAAAUUUAAAUAACGA